rnacentral:ncRNA from 2 species
AAACUUAAUAAAUAUACAGGUGCCCUACAGGGGUUAAAAGGGAAAGCGGUGAAAAUCCGCUGCAGCCCCCGCUACUGUAAGUGGGUAUGAAACCUGAAAAGCCACCUAAUUGGGAAGGCCAGGGAGUAAGAUGAUCCACGAGCCAGGAAACCUGCCUGUAUAUUAGGAGCAAA